GGUUAAGCGACUAAGCGUACACGGUGGAUGCCCUGGCAGUCAGAGGCGAUGAAGGACGUGCUAAUCUGCGAUAAGCGCCGGUAAGGUGAUAUGAACCGUUAUAACCGGCGAUUUCCGAAUGGGGAAACCCAGUGUGAUUCGUCACACUAUCAUUAACUGAAUCCAUAGGUUAAUGAGGCGAACCGGGGGAACUGAAACAUCUAAGUACCCCGAGGAAAAGAAAUCAACCGAGAUUCCCCCAGUAGCGGCGAGCGAACGGGGAGGAGCCCAGAGCCUGAAUCAGCAUGUGUGUUAGUGGAAGCGUCUGGAAAGGUGCGCGAUACAGGGUGACAGCCCCGUACACAAAAGCGCAUGUGCUGUGAGCUCGAUGAGUAGGGCGGGACACGUGGUAUCCUGUCUGAAUAUGGGGGGACCAUCCUCCAAGGCUAAAUACUCCUGACUGACCGAUAGUGAACCAGUACCGUGAGGGAAAGGCGAAAAGAACCCCGGCGAGGGGAGUGAAAAAGAACCUGAAACCGUGUACGUACAAGCAGUGGGAGCACAGGUUUACCUGUGUGACUGCGUACCUUUUGUAUAAUGGGUCAGCGACUUAUAUUCUGUAGCAAGGUUAACCGUAUAGGGGAGCCGUAGGGAAACCGAGUCUUAACCGGGCGUUAAGUUGCAGGGUAUAGACCCGAAACCCGGUGAUCUAGCCAUGGGCAGGUUGAAGGUUGGGUAACACUAACUGGAGGACCGAACCGACUAAUGUUGAAAAAUUAGCGGAUGACCUGUGGCUGGGGGUGAAAGGCCAAUCAAACCGGGAGAUAGCUGGUUCUCCCCGAAAGCUAUUUAGGUAGCGCCUCGUGAAUUCAUCUCCGGGGGUAGAGCACUGUUUCGGCUAGGGGGCCAUCCCGGCUUACCAACCCGAUGCAAACUGCGAAUACCGGAGAAUGUUAUCACGGGAGACACACGGCGGGUGCUAACGUCCGUCGUGAAGAGGGAAACAACCCAGACCGCCAGCUAAGGUCCCAAAGUCAUGGUUAAGUGGGAAACGAUGUGGGAAGGCCCAGACAGCCAGGAUGUUGGCUUAGAAGCAGCCAUCAUUUAAAGAAAGCGUAAUAGCUCACUGGUCGAGUCGGCCUGCGCGGAAGAUGUAACGGGGCUAAACCAUGCACCGAAGCUGCGGCAGCGAACGUAUCACUUAAAGCGAUUCAGCGGGUUACGAUUGACGGAGCGAAGCGACGUCAAAGCGUAUACAAAGUCGAGUCGGUUUAAGGAUACGUUCGUUGGGUAGGGGAGCGUUCUGUAAGCCCGUGAAGGUGGCCUGUGAGGGUUGCUGGAGGUAUCAGAAGUGCGAAUGCUGACAUAAGUAACGAAAAGCGGGUGAAAAGCCCGCUCGCCGGAAGACCAAGGGUUCCUGUCCAACGUUAAUCGGGGCAGGGUGAGUCGACCCCUAAGGCGAGGCCGAAAGGCGUAGUCGAUGGGAAACGGGUUAAUAUUCCCGUACUUGGUGUUACUGCGAAGGGGGGACGGAGAAGGCUAUGUUGGCCGGGCGACGGUUGUCCCGGUUUAAGCGUGUAGGUGUGUGUUCCAGGUAAAUCCGGUUCACUUUAACACUGAGGCGUGACGACGAGGCACUACGGUGCUGAAGCAACAAAUGCCCUGCUUCCAGGAAAAGCCUCUAAGCAUCAGGUAACAUCAAAUCGUACCCCAAACCGACACAGGUGGUCAGGUAGAGAAUACCAAGGCGCUUGAGAGAACUCGGGUGAAGGAACUAGGCAAAAUGGUGCCGUAACUUCGGGAGAAGGCACGCUGACACGUAGGUGAAGUGAUUUACUCAUGGAGCUGAAGUCAGUCGAAGAUACCAGCUGGCUGCAACUGUUUAUUAAAAACACAGCACUGUGCAAACACGAAAGUGGACGUAUACGGUGUGACGCCUGCCCGGUGCCGGAAGGUUAAUUGAUGGGGUCAGCGCAAGCGAAGCUCCUGAUCGAAGCCCCGGUAAACGGCGGCCGUAACUAUAACGGUCCUAAGGUAGCGAAAUUCCUUGUCGGGUAAGUUCCGACCUGCACGAAUGGCGUAAUGAUGGCCAGGCUGUCUCCACCCGAGACUCAGUGAAAUUGAACUCGCUGUGAAGAUGCAGUGUACCCGCGGCAAGACGGAAAGACCCCGUGAACCUUUACUAUAGCUUGACACUGAACAUUGAGCCUUGAUGUGUAGGAUAGGUGGGAGGCUUUGAAGUGUGGACGCCAGUCUGCAUGGAGCCGACCUUGAAAUACCACCCUUUAAUGUUUGAUGUUCUAACGUGGACCCGUAAUCCGGGUUGCGGACAGUGUCUGGUGGGUAGUUUGACUGGGGCGGUCUCCUCCUAAAGAGUAACGGAGGAGCACGAAGGUUGGCUAAUCCUGGUCGGACAUCAGGAGGUUAGUGCAAUGGCAUAAGCCAGCUUGACUGCGAGCGUGACGGCGCGAGCAGGUGCGAAAGCAGGUCAUAGUGAUCCGGUGGUUCUGAAUGGAAGGGCCAUCGCUCAACGGAUAAAAGGUACUCCGGGGAUAACAGGCUGAUACCGCCCAAGAGUUCAUAUCGACGGCGGUGUUUGGCACCUCGAUGUCGGCUCAUCACAUCCUGGGGCUGAAGUAGGUCCCAAGGGUAUGGCUGUUCGCCAUUUAAAGUGGUACGCGAGCUGGGUUUAGAACGUCGUGAGACAGUUCGGUCCCUAUCUGCCGUGGGCGCUGGAGAACUGAGGGGGGCUGCUCCUAGUACGAGAGGACCGGAGUGGACGCAUCACUGGUGUUCGGGUUGUCAUGCCAAUGGCACUGCCCGGUAGCUAAAUGCGGAAGAGAUAAGUGCUGAAAGCAUCUAAGCACGAAACUUGCCCCGAGAUGAGUUCUCCCUGAGACUUAGAGUCUCCUGAAGGAACGUUGAAGACGACGACGUUGAUAGGCCGGGUGUGUAAGCGCAGCGAUGCGUUGAGCUAACCGGUACUAAUGAACCGUGAGGCUUAACCUU
rnacentral:rRNA from 1 species